rnacentral:rRNA from 1 species
AUUGAACGCUGGCGGCAGGCCUAACACAUGCAAGUCGAGCGGAUGAAGGGAGCUUGCUCCUGGAUUCAGCGGCGGACGGGUGAGUAAUGCCUAGGAAUCUGCCUGGUAGUGGGGGAUAACGUCCGGAAACGGGCGCUAAUACCGCAUACGUCCUGAGGGAGAAAGUGGGGGAUCUUCGGACCUCACGCUAUCAGAUGAGCCUAGGUCGGAUUAGCUAGUUGGUGGGGUAAAGGCCUACCAAGGCGACGAUCCGUAACUGGUCUGAGAGGAUGAUCAGUCAACGUGAGAGUGAAAAGCGGUCCAGGCCCCUAGGGAAGGCCGCGGGGGGGAAGUUUGGCAGAAGGGGGAAAGCUUGAACCAGGCGUGGCGGGUGGGUGAAGAAGGCCCUCGGGUGGGAAGACCCUUUAAGUGGGGGAAAAGGGCAUUAAGUUAAACCCUGGGUUUUUGACGGUAACCAACAAAAAAACCCCCGCUUUAUUUGUG